AGGCCUUUUCAUCUUCAAAUCGGGGGGGGGGGGGAAUUCUUAUGCUAAUAUUGUCCCUCAAAGGCAGAGAGAGCCUGGAGGUCCCCAAACUGCAGGUCCUGGAGCAGAAGAGUCUGGAGAGAUAGAGAGGCUGCUGCAGAUGCUGAAUUCAACAGGAUGCCUGCCACUUGUAAUUAGAUGUCGAAAUCAUGGUCUUCUUGGGCCUCCCUCAAGAGAAGCGCCUGGACUCACUGUCCACAGCCUGCUGUUUUCCAAGUAACCCGUGGAAAUGAAAUCUUCCCUGUAA